rnacentral:rRNA from 1 species
UACAGAGGGGGCAAGCGUUAUUCGGAAUUAUUGGGCGUAAAGGGCGCGUAGGCGGUUUUUUAAGUAGGAUGUGUAAUCCCCGGGCUUAACCUGGGAACUGCAUCCUAGACUGGAAGGCUAGAGUACUGGAGAGGGUGGUAGAAUUCCACGUGUAGCGGUGAAAUGCGUAGAGAUGUGGAGGAAUACCAGUGGCGAAGGCGGCCACCUGGACAGUAACUGACGCUGAUGCGCGAAAGUGUGGGUAGCAAACAGGAUUAGAUACCCUGGUAGUCCACGCUGUAAACGAUGAACACUUGGUGUGGUGAGAGUUGACCCUCGCCGUGCCGGAGCUAACGCGUUAAGUGUUCCGCCUGGGGAGUACGGUCGCAAGGCUGAA